GUCGUAUCUAUGGAUACAUUUCGAGUCCUGUCAAGCUUAGUCCAGGAUGAAUUGAUGUUCCUCUACUGUUAAGUUAUUGUCUACUGGUGCUCAUUGAUCAUUCUGCAGUGCCGGAGCCACUAAAGAUAUGUAUGCCAUGGUCUCAAUGCUAGUGCUGUCUGUUGUCUUCUUCUUGAGUGUGAAUCAAGUUAUCAGUCAAUCAUGUCCACCUACCUCAGGUAUCUAUUUAGCACAUGAAGAAAAUUGUUAUCAUAAUGGAUCGUAUUUUUGGGAUAGAAGAGUUGAUUUACCUGCUGAAGCUAUAUCAUGUGUGUUACCUGGUACU